rnacentral:rRNA from 1 species
GGGAGUAGACCGCAAGGUUGAAACUUCAAAGGAAUUUGACGGGGAGCCGCACAAGCGGUGGAGCAUGUGGUUUAAUUUCGAAGCAACGCGAAGAACCUUACCAAAUCUUGACAUCCUCUGACCCCUCUAGAGAUAGAGUUUUCCCCUUCGGGGGACAGAGUGACAGGUGGUGCAUGGUUGUCUAGCCCUCCGUGCCGAAA